CAGCCGCCGUGGUAAUACAGAGGGUUCGAGCGUUAAUCGGAUUUACUGGGCGUAAAGCGUGCGUAGGCGGCUUUUUAAGUCGGAUGUGAAAUCCCUGAGCUUAACUUAGGAAUUGCAUUCGAUACUGGGAAGCUAGAGUAUGGGAGAGGAUGGUAGAAUUCCAGGUGUAGCGGUGAAAUGCGUAGAGAUCUGGAGGAAUACCGAUGGCGAAGGCAGCCAUCUGGCCUAAUACUGACGCUGAGGUACGAAAGCAUGGGGAGCAAACAGGAUUAGAUACCCCGGUAGUCCCUGUCUCUUAUAC
rnacentral:rRNA from 1 species